rnacentral:rRNA from 1 species
CCUACGGGAGGCAGCAGUAGGGAAUUUUCCGCAAUGGGCGAAAGCCUGACGGAGCAAUACCGCGUGAGGGAUGACGGCCUGUGGGUUGUAAACCUCUUUUCUCAAGGAAGAAGUUCUGACGGUACUUGAGGAAUAAGCAUCGGCUAACUCUGUGCCAGCAGCCGCGGUAAUACAGAGGAUGCAAGCGUUAUCCGGAAUCACUGGGCAUAAAGCGUCUGUAGGUUGUUUAGUAAGUCUGCUGUUAAAGACUGGGGCUUAACCCCAGAAAAGCAGUGGAAACUGCUAGACUCGAGUGUGGUAGAGGUAGAGGGAAUUCCUAGUGUAGCGGUGAAAUGCGUAGAUAUUAGGAGGAACACCAAUGGCGAAGGCACUCUACUGGGCCAUAACUGACACUGAGAGACGACAGCUAGGGGAGCAAACGGGAUUAGAUACCCCGGUAGUCCUAGCCGUAAACGAUGGAUACUAGAUGUUGCACGUAUUAACCCGUGCAGUAUCGUAGCUAAGGAGUAGUAUCCGCCUCGGAGUACGCUCGCGAGAGUAGAACGUACGAAAGAAGUUAGACGGCGUGAGACGUACGCCGAACGGACGACCGACGAGGGAGGUAGG